GACGAACGCUGGCGGCGUGCUUAACACAUGCAAGUCGAACGAUGAACCCGGAGCUUGCUCCGGUGGAUUAGUGGCGAACGGGUGAGUAACACGUGAGUAACCCGCCCUUGACUCUGGGAUAACUGCGGGAAACUGUAGCUAAUACCGGAUACGACCCUCGGCGGCAUCGCCAGGGGGUGGAAAGAAUUUCGGUCAAGGAUGGACUCGCGGCCUAUCAGCUAGUUGGUGAGGUAACGGCUCACCAAGGCGACGACGGGUAGCCGGCCUGAGAGGGUGACCGGCCACACUGGGACUGAGACACGGCCCAGACUCCUACGGGAGGCAGCAGUGGGGAAUAUUGCACAAUGGGCGCAAGCCUGAUGCAGCAACGCCGCGUGAGGGGUGACGGCCUUCGGGCUGUAAACCUCUUUUAGCAGGGAAGAAGCGAAAGUGACGGUACCUGCAGAAAAAGCACCGGCUAACUACGUGCCAGCCGCCGCCGUAA
rnacentral:rRNA from 1 species